AGAGUCACUCCUACGGGAGGCAGCAGUGGGGAAUAUUGGACAAUGGGCGAAAGCCUGAUCCAGCGACGCCGCGUGGGUGAAGAAGGCCUGCGGGUUGUAAAGCCCUUUCGGUGGGGAAGAAAAGCCUCGAGCUAACACCUCGGGGUCUUGACGUAACCCAUAGAAGAAGCACCGGCUAACUCUGUGCCAGCAGCCGCGGUAAUACAGAGGGUGCUAGCGUUGUUCGGAAUUACUGGGCGUAAAGAGCGCGUAGGCGGGAUGGCAAGUCGGUCGUGAAAUCCUUCGGCUCAACCGAAGAACGUCGGCCGAUACUGCCGUUCUUGAGGGAUGCAGAGGAGAUUGGAAUUCCCGGUGUAGCGGUGAAAUGUGUAGAGAUCGGGAGGAACACCGGUGGCGAAGGCGGGUCUCUGGGUCAAUACUGACGCUCAUGCACGAAAGCGUGGGGAGCAAACAGGAUUAGAUACCCUGGUAGUCCUAGCCCUAAACGAUGGAUACUUGCUGUGACUGGGAUUGAAUCCAGUCGUGGCGAAGCUAACGCAUUAAGUAUCCCGCCUGGGGAGUACGGUCGCAAGGCUGAAACUUAAAGGAAUUGACG
rnacentral:rRNA from 1 species